rnacentral:rRNA from 1 species
CGCCUAACACAUGCAAGUCGAACGAGGACGGCUUCAGCAAUGGGGCCUAGUAAAGUGGCGUACGGGUGAGUAACACGUGGAUAAUCUACCCUCAAGCGGGGGAUAACCUGGGGAAACCCGGGCUAAUACCGCAUAACAUCUCGAUGGCGUAAGUUGUUGAGAUCAAAGGAGCAAUUCGCUAGAGGAGGGGUCCGCGGCCGAUUAGCUUGUUGGCGGGGUAACGGCCCACCAAGGCAAUGAUCGGUAGCCGGCCUGAGAGGACGCACGGCCACACUGGAACUGACACACGGUCCAGACUCCUACGGGAGGCAGCAGUGGGGAAUCUUGCACAAUGGGGGAAACCCUGAUGCAGCGACGCCGCGUGGGUGAUGAACUCUUCGGAGUGUAAAGCCC